rnacentral:rRNA from 1 species
UACGUAGGGUGCGAGCGUUGUCCGGAAUUAUUGGGCGUAAAGGGCUCGUAGGCGGUUUGUUGCGUCAGGAGUGAAAACUCGGGGCUUAACCCCCGAGCCUGCUUCUGAUACGGGCAGACUAGAGGUAUGCAGGGGAGAACGGAAUUCCUGGUGUAGCGGUGAAAUGCGCAGAUAUCAGGAGGAACACCGGUAGCGAAGGCGGUCUCGUGGGCAUACCUGACGCU